GAAAUGCGAUACGUAAUGUGAAUUGCAGAAUUCCGUGAAUCAUCGAAUCUUUGAACGCACAUUGCACUCUAUUUCGGUAGAGUAUGCCUGUUUGAGAAUCUAUAGUAUUUAUUCUGUAUUUUGUCUUUUUUAAAUAAAGCCUUUUUGCAGAGAUAUGAGUCUGACUCUCCUUGAGUCUUUCUUGAAAUCUAUAACUGAACUGUGCUAAGAGUGUUUGACUUUUUGCAAAGCAUCAGAAAAGUAUUUGAAUGGGAUUUAUCUCUUAUAAUGCCUAUUAAGAUGCAGUAAAAAUUAGCUCGACUGUGCUUUGCAGUCCAUAAACUUUUGAAGCCGUAAAAAGCUUGAACCAUGGUCUCAAAUCAGGUAGGAAUACCCGCUGAACUUAA
rnacentral:misc_RNA from 1 species